AAAGGAAUUAAGGGCGU
rnacentral:rRNA from 1 species